rnacentral:rRNA from 1 species
GACUGCAGGCUGCAACCCGCCUGCACGAAGCUGGAAUUGCUAGUAAUCGCGGAUCAGCAUGCCGCGGUGAAUACGUUCCCGGGCUUUGUACACACCGCCCGUCAAACCAUGAAAGUUGGGAACACCCGAAGCCAGUGAGCUAACCGAAAGGAGGCAGCUGUCGAAGGUGGGUUCAAUGAUUGGGGUUAAGUCGUAACAAGGUACC